AUAAAUCACUCUGCCUUGAGAAGUUUCCAGUCUGCCAGCCAAAUCCUGGGAAUCUGAAACAGCGGGAGGCAACUGGUGCAGCAGAACAGCUCCAUGCUGACCCAGACCCCGUGCCUGGAGCUUGGCAUCCACAGCUGGAGUCUCCCCAGCCUCGGCGGCACCAGGAGAGAAGCGAGGCUGGGAUCAGCAACACGGCUCUAAUCGUGGUGCAUUAAUAGGAUCAUCGGGAAGACCCCAACUGCUGCAACUCCAGCCUGAGACAGAGGGGCAGAACCUUCACCUGUGACAG